GUCGGGUUGUUUGGGAAUGCAGCUCAAAAUGGGUGGUAAAUUUCAUCUAAAGCUAAAUACUGGCGAGAGACCGAUAGCGAACAAGUAGAGUGAUCUAAAGAUGAAAAGUACUUUGAAAAGAGAGUGAAACAGUACGUGAAAUUGUUGAAAGGGAAGCGCUUGGCAUCAGCCCAUGGCGUCAGUCUAUCAACCUGGCUUCUGUCGGGUGCACUAGAGUGAUGUCGGGCCAGCGUCGACUUUGCCCGCUGGAGAAAGGUUCGAGGGAUGUGGCUCCUUGGAGCGUUAUACCCUUGGGCGUCAUGCGGUGGGCGAGGUCGAGGUCCGCGGUUUAUCCUAGGACGCUGGCGUAAUGGUUCCAAGCGACCCGUCUUGAAACACGGACCAAGGAGUCUAACAUCUAUGCGAGUGUUUGGGUGUAAAGCCCGUCCGCGCAAUGAAAGUGAAUGCAGGCGGGAGCCGUUAGAUGGCGCACCGUCGACCGGUCCAGGGGUUUACCGAAGGAUCUGAGUAAGAGCAUAGCUGUUGGGACCCGAAA
rnacentral:rRNA from 1 species